rnacentral:lncRNA from 1 species
UCGGGAUCCUGUUUGCCAUCCUCUUGGUGCUGGUCUUUAUCAGUGGCCAAGAAGCCAACCAAUAAGGCCCCCCACCCCAAGCAGGAACCCCAGGAGAUCAAUUUUCCCGACGAUCUUCCUGGCUCCAACACUGCUGCUCCAGUGCAGGAGACUUUACAUGGAUGCCAACCGGUCACCCAGGAGGAUGGCAAAGAGAGUCGCAUCUCAGUGCAGGAGAGACAGUGAGGCUGCACCCACCCAGGAGUGUGGCCACGUGGGCAAACAGGCAGUUGGCCAGAGAGCCUGGUGCUGCUGCUGCUGUGGCGUGAGGGUGAGGGGCUGGCACUGACUGGGCAUAGCUCCCCGCUUCUGCCUGCACCCCUGCAGUUUGAGACAGGAGACCUGGCACUGGAUGCAGAAACAGUUCACCUUGAAGAACCUCUCACUUCACCCUGGAGCCCAUCCAGUCUCCCAACUUGUAUUAAAGACAGAGGCAGAAGUUUGGUGGUGGUGGUGUUGGGGUAUGGUUUAGUAAUAUCCACCAGACCUUCCGAUCCAGCAGUUUGGUGCCCAGAGAGGCAUCAUGGUGGCUUCCCUGCGCCCAGGAAGCCAUAUACACAGAUGCCCAUUGCAGCAUUGUUUGUGAUAGUGAACAACUGGAAGCUGCUUAACUGUCCAUCAGCAGGAGACUGGCUAAAUAAAAUUAGAAUAUAUUUAUACAACAGAAUCUCAAAAACACUGUUGAGUAAGGAAAAAAAGGCAUGCUGCUGAAUGAUGGGUAUGGAACUUUUUAAAAAAGUACAUGCUUUUAUGUAUGUAUAUUGCCUAUGGAUAUAUGUAUAAAUACAAUAUGCAUCAUAUAUUGAU